AUUGAACGCUAGCGGGAUGCUUUACACAUGCAAGUCGAACGGAGUGGCGAACGGGUGAGUAAUGUAUCGGAACGUGCCCAGUAGCGGGGGAUACAUACGCGACAGCGUAGCUAAUACCCACUCCUCUUGGAGCGGCCGAUAUCGGGUUAGCUAGUUGGUGAGGUAACGGCCCACCAAGGCGACGAUCCGUAGCUGGUUUGAGAGGACGACCAGCCACACUGGGACUGAGACACGGCCCAGACUCCUACGGGAGGCAGCAGUGGGGAAUUUUGGACAAUGGGGGCAACCCUGAUCCAGCCAUCCCGCGUGUGCGAUGAAGGCCUUCGGGUUGUAAAGCACUUUUGGCAGGAAAGCGGUACCUGCAGAAUAAGCACCGGCUAACUACGUGCCAGCAGCCGCGGUAAUUC
rnacentral:rRNA from 1 species